rnacentral:rRNA from 1 species
GGCUUGGUGCCCGAAAGGGAACCUGCACACAGGUGCUGCAUGGCUGUCGUCAGCUCGUGUCGUGAGAUGUUGGGUUAAGUCCCGCAACGAGCGCAACCCUUAUCAUUAGUUGCUACGCAAGGGCACUCUAAUGAGACUGCCGGUGACAAACCGGAGGAAGGUGGGGAUGACGUCAAGUCCUCAUGGCCCUUAUGGGUAGGGCUUCACACGUCAUACAAUGGUCGGUACAGAGGGCAGCCAACCCGCGAGGGGGAGCCAGUCCCAAAAAACCGAUCGUAGUCCGGAUUGUUCUCUGCAACUCGAGAGCAUGAAGUCGGAAUCGCUAGUAAUCGCAGGUCAGCAUACUGCGGUGAAUACGUUCCCGGGCC